rnacentral:rRNA from 1 species
GACGAACGCUGGCGGCGUGCUUAACACAUGCAAGUCGAACGGUGACGAGCAGCUUGCUGCUCUGAUCAGUGGCGAACGGGUGAGUAACACGUGAGCAACCUACCCUUGACUCUGGGAUAACAGCUGGAAACAGCUGCUAAUACCGGAUAUGACCUCGACUGACAUCAGUUGAGGUGGAAAGUUCUGGCGGUCAAGGAUGGGCUCGCGGCCUAUCAGCUAGUUGGUGAGGUAACGGCUCACCAAGGCUUCGACGGGUAGCCGGCCUGAGAGGGCGACCGGCCACACUGGGACUGAGAUACGGCCCAGACUCCUACGGGAGGCAGCAGUGGGGAAUAUUGCACAAUGGGCGAAAGCCUGAUGCAGCAACGCCGCGUGCGGGAUGACGGCCUUCGGGUUGUAGACCGCUUUCAGCUCCGACGAAGCGCAAGUGACGGUAGGAGCAGAAGAAGGACCGGCCAACUACGUGCCAGCCGCCGCCGUAA